UGUCAUCCUUCUUCAGUCCUG
rnacentral:misc_RNA from 1 species